AUUGAACGCUGGCGGCAUGCCUUACACAUGCAAGUCGAACGGCAGCACGGGGGCAACCCUGGUGGCGAGUGGCGAACGGGUGAGUAAUGCAUCGGAACGUGCCCAGUAGUGGGGAUAACUAGUCGAAAGAUUAGCUAAUACCGCAUACGACCUAUGGGUGAAAGCGGGGGAUUCGCAAGAACCUCGCGCUAUUGGAGCGGCCGAUGUCUGAUUAGCUAGNGGCGGGGUAAAGCCCACCAAGGCUUCGAUCAGUAGCUGGUCUGAGAGGACGACCAGCCACACUGGGACUGAGACACGGCCCAGACUCCUACGGGGGCAGCAGUGGGAAUUUUGGACAAUGGCGCAAGCCUGAUCC
rnacentral:rRNA from 1 species